rnacentral:rRNA from 1 species
UACGUAGGGUGCUAGCGUUAUCCGGAUUUACUGGGCGUAAAGGGUGCGUAGGUGGUCUUUCAAGUCGGUGGUUAAAGGCUACGGCUCAACCGUAUUAAGCCGCCGAAACUGGAAGACUUGAGUGCAGGAGAGGAAAGUGGAAUUCCAUGUGUAGCGGUGAAAUGCGUAGAUAUUGAGAAGAACACCAGUAGCGAAGGCGGCUUUCUGGACUGUAACUGACGCUGAUGCACGAAGGUGUGGGUAUCAAACAGG